ACGCUGGCGGCGUGCCUAAUACAUGCAAGUAGAACGCUGAAGGAGGAGCUUGCUCUCUGGAUGAGUUGCGAACGGGUGAGCAACGCGUAGGUAACCUGCCUGGUAGCGGGGCAUAACUAUUGGAAACGAUAGCUAAUACCGCAUAACAGUAGAUGUUGCAUGAUAUCUGCUUGAAAGGUGCAAUUGCAUCACUACCAGAUGGACCUGCGUUGUAUUAGCUAGUUGGUGAGGUAACGGCUCACCAAGGCGACGAUGCAUAGCCGACCUGAGAGGGUGAUCGGCCACACUGGGACUGAGACACGGCCCAGACUCCUACGGGAGGCAGCAGUAGGGAAUCUUCGGCAAUGGACGGAAGUCUGACCGAGCAACGCCGCGUGAGUGAAGAAGGUUUUCGGAUCGUAAAGCUCUGUUGUAAGAGAAGAACGAGUGUGAGAGUGGAAAGUUCACACUGUGACGGUAUCUUACCAGAAAGGGACGGCUAACUACGUGCCAGCAGCCGCGGUAAUACGUAGGUCCCGAGCGUUGCCCGGAUUUAUUGGGCGUAAAGCGAGCGCAGGCGGUUAGAUAAGUCUGAAGUUAAAGGCUGUGGCUUAACCAUAGUACGCUUUGGAAACUGUUUAACUUGAGUGCAAGAGGGGAGAGUGGAAUUCCAUGUGUAGCGGUGAAAUGCGUAGAUAUAUGGAGGAACACCGGUGGCGAAAGCGGCUCUCUGGCUUGUAACUGACGCUGAGGCUCGAAAGCGUGGGGAGCAAACAGGAUUAGAUACCCUGGUAGUCCACGCCGUAAACGAUGAGUGCUAGGUGUAGACCCUUUCCGGGGUUUAGUGCCGUAGCUAACGCAUUAAGCACUCCGCCUGGGGAGUACGACCGCAAGGUUGAAACUCAAAGGAAUUGACGGGGGCCCGCACAAGCGG
rnacentral:rRNA from 1 species